AGCAACUUCACCCACAGCAACCAUGACUUUGAUCAGCGUCUUCAUCUGCACACUGGCCCUCUGGACUCAAGCAUCCAGAGGUCAGGUGACUGUGACUCAGACUCCUUCAGUGCAAACUGUUGUUCCAGGAAACACAGUCACCAUCAACUGUAAAACCAGUAGCAGAGUACAUGAUGGUGAUCGUAUUGCCUGGUACCUGCAGAAACCUGGAGAAGCUCCUAAACUCCUGAUAUACUUGGUUACAAGAUUACAGUCUGGAACUCCAGCUCGUUUCAGUGGCAGUGGAUCGAAUACUGACUUCACUCUGACCAUCAGUGGAGUCCAGACUGAAGAUGCAGGAGAUUACUACUGUCAGAGUUUACAUAAGAUUAACUGGGUGAUCACACCGUGUUAGAGCAUCGUACAAAAACCUCGGUCAGUGAGAGUGUACAGA